rnacentral:rRNA from 1 species
AGCAGUAGCCACGGGAAUACGAAGGGUGCAAGCGUUACUCGGAAUUACUGGGCGUAAAGCGUGUGUAGGUGGUGGUUUAAGUCCGUUGUGAAAGCCCUGGGCUCAACCUGGGAAUUGCAGUGGAUACUGGGUCACUAGAGUGUGGUAGAGGAUAGUGGAAUUUCCGGUGUAGCAGUGAAAUGCGUAGAGAUCGGAAGGAACAUCUGUGGCGAAGGCGACUAUCUGGGCCAACACUGACACUGAGGCACGAAAGCGUGGGGAGCAAACAGGAUUAGAUACCCCUGUAGUCCCUGUCUCUUAUAU